rnacentral:lncRNA from 1 species
ACAUUUCUUUAGAUAAUCAUUUUACUUGAGGGCAUACAUUUUUUUUCCUCUCUUCAAUCACCCAGCCAUUUAAUUCCAAAGCGCAUGUGUAUUGCUGCAAAAUAUACAUCCCAAAGCGCAUGUGUAUUGCUAUAAAACUACAUAUAUCAUCCCACGUUCGAUAACAUAUGCGUUUAAAUGGUCAACAUGCUUGGUAAUGGUUCUGCCAGCAAGUUAUGCCUUGACAUCUUAAUGCUUGAUAAUAUGAUGCAUACAUGCUGGUCGUGGUGAUCGGUUUCGUUGGCCAUCCAUGCGUUAGCUGGCACUGCCUUCGGCGACACCACCUCUUCCAGCUCCACACAUGAGUGUCUCAUUUGAUCCACGAUGGAAGUCCCAUGAGUCCCAAACUCCCAAUCGACCCGCACUCACCAAGUAGUUUGCACAUGUCCAGUCUCUCUUGCAGAAUUUAACCUUCUUCUCCUGUAACAUGAACAUGACUAUGCUGGAGGUCAACAACAAUGACCAGCAGCGUUCGUGGACCACGAGCUAGGUAAUGACCAUGGACAUGGUGACCCACUGGCCACUGCCCCCACAGUUUCCUGACAGCACACAUGCCUGCAUGUAAUCUAGUGUGAGGGUGCCAAGCAAUGAUUUAAGGCAAGCUAAUAUGUCACCAAAGGACCAAUCAGAAACUAUAACUGUUCAUUGAAGAGCAGCAAGCAUAAUAGUGUUUACAAAGAUAAAUAACAGCAAGAGGAAGCAUGAACUUUGAAUAUGACCUCUUUUACAUUUCCUGCUUACUUAAAAGGUGCAAAUGUAACCCAAUAUGUUUAAUCGGUAACUGAAAGCAGGCAUGAUAGGUUAAUUAUCAACAUUGAUUCAUGCAUAAUAGAACAUAAUUUGAGCAGAUAAAACAUGAUGUCACAUUUUGUAUUGGAAAUAGACUUAAAUCUGUAACUUGUAUCAUUCACCAUCAAAACUAUGGGAAUGGCUCUAUGAAGAAUAUGCUUAAAUACUUAUGAUUGUCUUGGCCAAAAUAAACAAAUUGCAUAGAUACGUACCAAUGAUUUUCACAAUCAGUACCUGGCUAACUGCACUCUAUGCAAUGUGGGAAAUAUGGCAGUGUUGUAUCACACAUGUAGGGAAGUGUGAAGUAAACACAACAUAUGAUUCUGAAUCAAACUUGCAUCUUGUUGUCCGCUCUAAAAACUACCAAAAGCACACCAGAUGAAAUAC